rnacentral:tRNA from 1 species
AAGGAUAUAGCUCAGUGGUAGAGCAUUCGACUGCCGAUCGAGUGGUUCCCGGUUCAAACUCGGGAGUCUUCU